rnacentral:miRNA from 1 species
ACACAAAAUUAAAAAUAUAUAAUUAAUGUAUCUAAUUUUAUUGAAAAAAAUUAUAUAAUUAUUUUAUGUAUUCUUAAACUUAUAUGU